rnacentral:rRNA from 1 species
GAUGAACGCUGGCGGCGUGCCUAAUACAUGCAAGUCGAGCGAAUGGAUUAAGAGCUUGCUCUUAUGAAGUUAGCGGCGGACGGGUGAGUAACACGUGGGUAACCUGCCCAUAAGACUGGGAUAACUCCGGGAAACCGGGGCUAAUACCGGAUAACAUUUUGAACCGCAUGGUUCGAAAUUGAAAGGCGGCUUCGGCUGUCACUUAUGGAUGGACCCGCGUCGCAUUAGCUAGUUGGUGAGGUAACGGCUCACCAAGGCAACGAUGCGUAGCCGACCUGAGAGGGUGAUCGGCCACACUGGGACUGAGACACGGCCCAGACUCCUACGGGAGGCAGCAGUAGGGAGUCUUCCGCAAUGGACGAAAGUCUGACGGAGCAACGCCGCGUGAGUGAUGAAGGCUUUCGGGUCGUAAAACUCUGUUGUUAGGGAAGAACAAGUGCUAGUUGAAUAAGCUGACACCUUGACGGUACCUGACCAGAAAGCCACGGCUAACUACGUGCCAGCAGCCGCUGUAA